UUCCGGUUGAUCCCGCCGGACCCGACUGCUAUUUGGGUUAGAAUAAGCCAUGCGAGUCGAAUGGAAUACCUAAAUUUUCCAUGGCGAACUGCUCAGUAACACAUGAUCAACUUACCCUAUAGAGAAAAAUAACCUCGGGAAACUGAGGAUAAUGUUUCAUAGUUGAAAAGGCUUGGAAAAGUUUUUCAAUUAAAGGGAUGAAUAAAAUGGUAUUUAUCUGCUAUAGGAUAGGAUCGUGGUCGAUUAUGGUUGUUGGUGAGGUAACGGCUCACCAAGCCGAUAAUCGAUAGGGGCCGUGAGAGCUGGAGCCCCGAGAUGGGUACUUAGACAGCGACCCAGGCCUUACGAGGCGCAGCAGACGCGAAACCUCCGCAAUACACGAAAGUGUGACGGGGUUACCCAAAGUGUUCAUAUUUGGACUGCGGUAGGUGAGUAAUGUCCCCUACUAGAAAGGAGAGGGCAAGGCUGGUGCCAGCCGCCGCGGUAAAACCAGCUCUUCAAGUGGUCGGGAUAAUUAUUGGGCUUAAAGUGUCCGUAGCCGGUUUAGUUAGUUCCUGGUAAAAUCGGGUAGCUUAACUAUCUGUAUGCUAGGAAUACUGUUAUACUAGAGGGCGGGAGAGGUCUGAGGUACUACAGGGGUAGGGGUGAAAUCUUAUAAUCCUUGUAGGACCACCAGUGGCGAAGGCGUCAGACUGGAACGCGCCUGACGGUGAGGGACGAAAGCCAGGGGAGCGAACCGGAUUAGAUACCCGGGUAGUCCUGGCCGUAAACGAUGCAUACUAGGUGAUGGUACGGCUAUGAGCCGUAUCAGUGCCGUAGGGAAACCGUUAAGUGUGCCGCCUGGGAAGUACGGUCGCAAGGCUAAAACUUAAAGGAAUUGGCGGGGGAGCACCACAAGGGGUGAAGCCUGCGGUUCAAUUGGAGUCAACGCCGGG
rnacentral:rRNA from 1 species